GACGAACGCUGGCGGCGUGCUUAGCACAUGCAAGUCGAACGGAAAGGCCCUGCUUUUGUGGGGUGCUCGAGUGGCGAACGGGUGAGUAACACGUGAGUAACCUGCCCUUGACUUUGGGAUAACUUCAGGAAACUGGGGCUAAUACCGGAAAGGAGCUCCUGCUGCAUGGUGGGGGUUGGAAAGUUUCGGCGGUUGGGGAUGGACUCGCGGCUUAUCAGCUUGUUGGUGGGGUAGUGGCUUACCAAGGCUUUGACGGGUAGCCGGCCUGAGAGGGUGACCGGCCACAUUGGGACUGAGAUACGGCCCAGACUCCUACGGGAGGCAGCAGUGGGGAAUAUUGCACAAUGGGCGGAAGCCUGAUGCAGCAACGCCGCGUGCGGGAUGACGGCCUUCGGGUUGUAAACCGCUUUCGCCUGUGACGAAGCGUGAGUGACGGUAAUGGGUAAAGAAGCACCGGCUAACUACGUG
rnacentral:rRNA from 1 species